rnacentral:rRNA from 1 species
AGAGUUUGAUCCUGGCUCAGAUUGAACGCUGGCGGAAUGCUUUACACAUGCAAGUCGAACGGCAGCACGGGGGCAACCCUGGUGGCGAGUGGCGAACGGGUGAGUAAUACAUCGGAACGUGCCCAGUCGUGGGGGAUAACUACGCGAAAGCGUAGCUAAUACCGCAUACGACCUACGGAUGAAAGCGGGGGAUCGCAAGACCUCGCGCGAUUGGAGCGGCCGAUGGCAGAUUAGGUAGUUGGUGGGGUAAAGGCUCACCAAGCCUGCGAUCUGUAGCUGGUCUGAGAGGACGACCAGCCACACUGGAACUGAGACACGGUCCAGACUCCUACGGGAGGCAGCAGUGGGGAAUUUUGCGCAAUGGGCUAACGCCUGACGCAGCAACGCCGCGUGGAGGAUGAAGGUCUUUGGAUUGUAAACUCCUGUCAGCAGGGAAAAAGCGACUCGGACUCAUACUCCGGGGAGUUGAUUGUACCUGCAGAGGAAGCCCCGGCUAACUCUGUGCCAGCAGCCGCGGUAAUACAGAGGGGGCAAGCGUUAUUCGGAAUUAUUGGGCGUAAAGGGCGCGUAGGCGGCCUGGCAAGUGGAAGGUGAAAUCCCUCGGCUUAACCGAGGAACUGCCUUCCAUACUGCUUGGCUUGAGACCAGGAGAGGUGAGUGGAAUUCCCAGUGUAGCGGUGAAAUGCGUAGAUAUUGGGAGGAACACCAGUGGCGAAAGCGGCUCACUGGACUGGUACUGACGCUGAGGCGCGAAAGCGUGGGGAGCAAACGGGAUUAGAUACCCCGGUAGUCCACGCCGUAAACGAUGAGUGCUUGGUGUAGCGGGUAUCGACCCCUGCUGUGCCGAAGUCAACACAUUAAGCACUCCGCCUGGGGAGUACGGUCGCAAGGCUGAAACUCAAAGGAAUUGACGGGGGCCCGCACAGCGGUGAGCAUGUGGUUUAUUCGAGCACGCGAGACCUUACCUGGGUUUGAAUGUAUUGUAGCCUCAGAGAUGAGUCCCCUCUUCGGAGCGCUACAUAGGUGCUGCAUGCUGUCGUCAGCUCGUGUCUGGAAUGUGGUUAGUCCCGCACCGGGCCACCUGUCCAUAGUGCUACGCGCUCAUGCGAACCCAUGGAACUGCGGUGUUAUAACGAGAAACGGGGAGUUAACUUCAAGUCUCUCUAUGCCCCUAAUG